rnacentral:rRNA from 1 species
AAAGCCCAUAUGAAUACUAAGGCGCCCGUACCGGAAACCGACACAGGUGGGUGGGCAUAAAUGUGCCAAGGCGCGUGAGUGAAACCUCGUUAAGGAACUCUGCAAUCUAGCCCCGUAACUUCGGAAGAAGGGGUGCCCACUUUUAGUGGGUCGCAGUGAAAUGGGUGUACCGACUGUUUAUCAAAAACACAGCACUCUGCUAAGUCGUAAGACAACGUAUAGGGUGUGACACGUGACCAAUGCGGAAAGAUUACGGUAAGUGGUUAGGCGCAAGCCGAAGCUACGAGCCCAAGUCCCCGUGAAUGUCGGCCGUAACAAUAACGGUCCUAAGGUAGCGAAAUUCCUUGUCGGGUAAGUUCCGACCUGCACGAAUCGUGUAACGAGUGCACCGCUGUCUCAACGAGGAGCUCAGCGAAGUUGUAAUGGCGGUGAAGAUGCCGCCUACCCGCAGCAGGACGGAAAGACCCUAUGCACCUUUACUGUACGCUGUUACUGUGUUUUCGAUUUUCAUGCUUAGCGUAAGUGGGAGACUUUGAAUCGCUUCUUUCGGGGAGCGACGAGUCGUCAAUGAAACACCACCCUUGGAAAUUGGAAACUCUAACCCUCACCCAUGAUCUGGGGAGGGGACACUGGCAGCCGGUCAGUUUUACUGGGGCGGUAUCCUCCUAAAGAGUAACGGAGGAGUACGAAGGUUGGCUCAACCUGGUUGGUAAUCAGGUGACGAGUACAUGGAUAUAAGCCAGCCUAACUGUGAGACCUACAAGUCGAGCAGAUGCGAAAGCAGGUCCAAGUGAUCCGGUGGUUGAAAGUGGAAUCGCCAUCGCUCAACGGACAAAAGGUACGCUAGGGAUAACAGGCUGAUCGAGUCCAAGAGCUCAUAUCGACGACUCGGUUUGGCACCUCGAUGUCGGCUCAUCACAUCCUGGGGCUGGAGAAGGUCCCAAGGGUCCGGCUGUUCGCCGGUUAAAGUGGUACGCGAGCUGGGUUCAGAACGUCGCGAGACAGUUCGGUCCUUAUCCGCUGUGGGCGCAGGAAAGUUGAGGGGUUUAAACCUUAGUACGAGAGGACCGGGUUUAACGAACCUCUGGUGUUCCAGUUGUCGUGUCAACGGCAGUGCUGGGCAGCUACGUUCGGAAGAGAUAAGCGCUGAAAGCAUCUAAGCGCCAAGCUCCUCCCAAGAUUGACUUUCCCUGAAGAGUCGUGGUAGACCACCACGUUGAUAGGCCAUAGGUAUAAGCGCAGUAAUGUGUUGAGCUUAGUGGUACUAAUAACUCGUUCGGCUUGAUCGA